rnacentral:ncRNA from 19 species
AUACAGCAUAAAAGGUGAACUCUGUGAAAUUCAGAGACUGUCCCGCAACGGUUAGAGUCCGAGCCCUUCAAUAUUUCUAUGUCUCGGAGGAAGAUCAUAAAAACACUAUUUUAUUACGCCACU